rnacentral:rRNA from 1 species
AACGUAGGAGGCAAGCGUUAUCCGGAUUUACUGGGCGUAAAGGGCGUGCAGGUGGUGGUCUAAGUGGUGCGUGAAAGCGCUCGGCUCAACCGGGCGAGGGCGUGCCAAACUGGGUCACUAGAAACAGGCAGAGGAAAGUGGAAUUCGGGGUGUAGUGGUGAAAUGCGUAGAGAUCCGAGGAACUCCUGUGGCGAAGGCGACUUCUGGGCCUGCUUGACACUCAGACGCGAAAGCAUGGGGAGCGAACGGGG